rnacentral:rRNA from 1 species
GCCCUUCAGUGGGGAAUAGCCCAGGGAAACUUGGAUUAAUACCCCAUAGUCUCGCAAGAGUAAAGGUGGCGUAAGCUGCCGCUGAAGGAUUGGUUCGCGCCCUAUCAGCUUGUUGGUGAGGUAACGACUCACCAAGGCUACGACGGGUACCUGGUCUGAGAGGACGAUCAGGCACACUGGAACUGAGACACGGUCCAGACACCUACGGGUGGCAGCAGUCGAGAAUAAUUCACAAUGGGGGCAACUCUGAUGGUGCAACGCCGCGUGAAGGAUGACGGUCUUCGGAUUGUAAACUCCUGUCAUCUGGGAGAAAGACCUGGGGGUUAAUAGCCCACAGGGUUGAUAGUACCAGAAGAGGAAGGGACGGCUAACUUCGUGCCAGCAGCCGCGGUAAUACGAAGGUCCCAAGCGUUGUUCGGAAUCACUGGGCGUAAAGGGAGCGUAGGCGGCGCGGUAAGUCAGAUGUGAAAUCCCGGGGCUCAACCCCGGAACUGCAUCCGAUACUGCCGUGCUAGAGUAAUGGAGAGGUAGCUGGAAUUAUCGGUGUAGCAGUGAAAUGCGUAGAUAUCGAUAGGAACACUCGUGGCGAAAGCGAGCUACUGGACAUUUACUGACGCUGAGGCUCGAAGGCUAGGGGAGCGAAAGGGAUUAGAUACCCCUGUAGUCCUAGCAGUAAACGGUGCACGCUUGGUGUGAGGGGAUUCGACCCCCCUUGCGCCGGAGCUAACGCGUUAAGCGUGCCGCCUGGGAAGUACGGUCGCAAGACUAAAACUCAAAGAAAUUGACGGGGACCCGCACAAGCGGUGGAGUAUGUGGCUUAAUUCGAUGCAACGCGAAAAACCUUACCUAGGCUUGACAUG